rnacentral:rRNA from 1 species
CGGCUUAACCGUGGGAAGGGUCAUGGGAAAACUGUCCAACUUGAAUGCAGAAGAGGUAAGUGGAAUUCCAUGUGUAGCGGUGAAAUGCGUAGAUAUAUGGAGGAACACCAGUGGCGAAGGCGACUUACUGGUCUGUGAUUGACGCUGAGGCUCGAAAGCGUGGGUAGCGAACAGGAUUAGAUACCCUGGUAGUCCACGCCGUAAACGAUGAGUGCUAAGUGUUGGAGGGUUUCCGCCCUUCAGUGCUGGAGUUAACGCAAUAAGUAUUCCGCCUGGGGAGUACGGCCGCAAGGUUGAAACUCAAAGGAAUUGACGGGGGCCCGCACAAGCAGCGGAGCAUGUGGUUUAAUUCGACGCAACGCGAAAAACCUUACCAGCUCUUGACAUCAUCUGACCACCCUAGAGAUAGGGCUUUCCCUUCGGGGACAGAUAGACAGGUGGUGCAUGGUUGUCGUCAGCUCGUGUCGUGAGAUGUUGGGUUAAGUCCCAUAACUAGCGCAACCCUUAUUGUUAGUUGCCAGCAUUCAGUUGGGCACUCUAACGAGACUGCCGGUGAUAAACCGGAGGAAGGUGGGGAGGACGUCAAAUCAUCAUGCCCCUUAUGAGCUGGGCUACACACGUGCUACAAUGGACGGUACAACGAGUUGCGACCCCGCAAGGGUGAGCGAAUCUUAAUAAGCCGUUCUCAGUUCGGAUUGUUCCCUGCAACUCGAGAGCAUGAAGCCGGAAUCGCUAGUAAUCGCGGAUCAGAAUGCCGCGGUGAAUACGUUCCCGGGUCUUGCACUCACCGCCCGUCA